rnacentral:antisense_RNA from 1 species
UUUUGCAUUCGGCUUGUUAUCAACAAUCGCGUUACCAACCGCAUGCAGCAAGUGGGUCUUACCUAAACCGGUACCACCAUA